rnacentral:pre_miRNA from 1 species
AAUAAAUGAAUUUUUGAGUUUUUGAUAGAUUUUUUGACUCUUCGUCUUAUUUGAAAAAUUUUAUGAUUAAUAUUUUUAUUACUACAUGAUAAAACAUGAAUAGUACUUUACGCGCGACUAAUUUUUUUUAAUUUUUUAAUAAAUUUUUUAAAUAAGACGGAUGGUCAAACGCUCGACUAAAAAACCUAGA